rnacentral:rRNA from 1 species
GAUGAACGCUGGCGGUGCGCCUAACACAUGCAAGUCGUGCGAAGCUAACCCAACUUGUUGGGCUAAGACUUAGCGGCGGACGAGUGAGGAACACGUAAGAACCAACCCUUAGGAGGGGGAUAACAGCUGGAAACGGUUGCUAAUACCCCAUAUGCUGAGGAGUGAAAGGUGAAAACCACCUAGGGACGGGCUUGCGUCUGAUUAGCUAGUUGGAGAGGUAACUGGCUCACCAAGGGCGACGAUCAGUAGCUGGUCUGAGAGGAUGAUCAGCCACGCUGGAACUGAGACACGGUCCAGACUCCUACGGAGGCAGCAGUGAGGAAUUUUCCGCAAUGGGCGAAAAGCCUGACGGAGCGACACCGCGUGGAGGAUGACGGCCCGUGGGUUGUAAACUCCUUUCUUAGAGAAGAAUUCUGACGGUAUCUAAGGAAUAAAGCAAUCGGCUAAACUCUGUGCCAGCCGCG